rnacentral:rRNA from 1 species
UCGGGAAUUUUGCGCAAUGGGGGAAACCCUGACGCAGCGACGCCGCGUGCGUGAUGAAGCCCUUCGGGGUGUAAAGCGCUUUUGUCUCGAACGAACCUCCUCCGGUCGAACAGGCCGGGGGACUGACGGUACGAGAUGAAUAAGCCUCGGCUAACUCCGUGCCAGCAGCCGCGGUAAGACGGGGGAGGCAAGCGUUGUCCGGAAUUACUGGGUGUAAAGGGCAGGCAGGCGGACUCGCCAGUCCAGGGUGAAAUCCAUCGGCUCAACCGGUCGGACGGCCCCGGAUACUGCGAGCCUUGAGUCAAGCAGGGGAGAGGGGAAUUCCUGGUGUAGCGGUGAAAUGCGUAGAUAUCAGGAGGAACACCGGUGGCGAAGGCGCCUCUCUGGGCUUGCACUGACGCUCAUACUGCGAAAGCUGGGGGAGCAAACAGGAUUAGAUACCCUGGUAGUCCCAGCCCUAAACGAUGGAUGCUAGGUGUUGGAGGUAUUGACCCCUCCAGUGCCGCAGCGAACGCAUUAAGCAUCCCACCUGGGGAGUACGGUCGCAAGGCUG